rnacentral:rRNA from 1 species
UACGGGGGGGGCAAGCGUUGUUCGGAAUUACUGGGCGUAAAGGGCGCGUAGGCGGUUUGUUAAGUUGGAUGUGAAAACUCUGGGCUCAACCCAGAGCCUGCAUCCAAUACUGACAGGCUAGAGUUCUGGAGGGGAUAGCGGAAUUCCUGGUGUAGCGGUGAAAUGCGUAGAUAUCAGGAGGAACACCGAUGGCGAAGGCAGGUCUCUGGGCCACUACUGACGCUGAGAAGCGAAAGCAUGGGGAGCGAACAGG